GGAAGGUGCGAGCGUUAAUCGGAAUCACUGGGCGUAAAGCGCGCGUAGGCGGUUAGGGUAAGUCAGAUGUGAAAGCCCCCGGGGCUUAACCUGGGAACUGCGUUUGAUACUGCCUAACUAGAGUGUGAUAGAGGGAAGUGGAAUUCCACAUGUAGCGGUGAAAUGCGUAGAGAUGUGGAGGAACACCAAUGGCGAAGGCAACUUCCUGGAUCAACACUGACGCUCAGGUGCGAAAGCGUGGGGAGCAAACAGGAUUAGAUACCCUGGUAGUCCACGCUGUAAACGAUGUCUACUAGCCGUUGGGAGGGUUUGCCUCUUAGUGGCGCAGCUAACGCGAUAAGUAGACCGCCUGGGGAGUACGGCCGCAAGGUUA
rnacentral:rRNA from 1 species